UACGGAGGGGGCUAGCGUUGUUCGGAAUUACUGGGCGUAAAGCGCACGUAGGCGGCUUCUUAAGUCAGGGGUGAAAUCCUGGAGCUCAACUCCAGAACUGCCUUUGAUACUGAGGAGCUUGAGUCCGGGAGAGGUGAGUGGAACUGCGAGUGUAGAGGUGAAAUUCGUAGAUAUUCGCAAGAACACCAGUGGCGAAGGCGGCUCACUGGCCCGGUACUGACGCUGAGGUGCGAAAGCGUGGGGAGCAAACAGGG
rnacentral:rRNA from 1 species